rnacentral:tRNA from 1 species
GGAGCCAUAGUUCACUGGUACAGCACCUGCCUAACAUGCAGACCAUCCCAGGUUCAAUCCCUGGUAGUGUCU